ACCAGCCAAGUGCACAGACAAAGAAAAUGCCUUGAAACUCUUUCCGGUUCAGCCCUGUAGUGCUGUUCACCUUCUACUUAAGAAAGUCCUCUUUGCCCUGUGUGCCUUGAAUGCCCUGACCACCACCGUCUGCUUGGUGGCCGCUGCCCUCCGCUACCUCCAGAUAUUCGCAACCAGGAGAUCCUGCAUCGAUGAAUCCCAGAUUUCUGCUGAAGAAGUGGAGGAUCAUGGACGCAUCCCGGACCCUGAUGAUUUUGUGCCGCCUGUGCCUCCCCCUUCCUAUUUUGCCACAUUUUACUCGUGCACACCCCGGAUGAACCGCAGGAUGGUUGGUCCUGAUGUUAUUCCCCUGCCACACAUCUACGGAGCUCGAAUCAAAGGUGUGGAAGUGUUCUGUCCUCUGGAUCCCCCGCCGCCAUAUGAAGCUGUGGUGAGCCAGAUGGACCAGGAGCAGGGAUCUUCAUUCCAAAUGCCAGAAGGAUCAGAAGCUGCUGUGAUCCCACUGGAUCCGGGCUGCACACAAGUGACUCAAGGUGGGGACAUUCCUAACAUACCUGCAGAAGAAAAUGCAUCCACGUCAACUCCCAGUUCAACCCUGGUGCGUCCUAUGAGAAACCGGAGAGCCCUCCCACCCUUGAGGACCAGGUCAAAGAGUGACCCUGUGCUCCAUCAUUCUGAGGAGAGAGAUAAUGGCCCCAUUGCAGCCUAGCACAUCCAGGGCCCACAUGCUGCCCUCGCGGAGACAGCCUGGCCUGCUGCACCUCCAGAGCUGCGGCGACCUUCACACCUUCACACCGGCGGGGAGGCCCCGAGCCGAGAGGAGGCCCCGGCGAGUGGAGGCUGAGCGGCCACACAGCCUCAUUGGGGUCAUCCGAGAGACUGUCCUGUGAACCCUGGAAGACAGAAGGCCACUCCAAGGGGAAGGAUCCCUCUUCUCUCUGCCAUUUCUUGGCUGGGAGCUGUGGUCCACCUCAAAAAAAGGAGCACUCUGGAGGACACGUUUUCCCACCUGUUGGCUCCCGUGUCUGCUGACCGAGGGCAUUCAGGAGUAAAUACACAGGUCGGUCCAGGCCCAUCUGGGUUUGGGAUGCACUGAGUUGGAGGUUAUGAAAGCAUUGAUCCUCUCCUUCCUCUGCUGGGCCUCGCGGCAUUCCCAAGGGUCACGUGCCCUGGCAUGGGCAGAAACUGGGCUAAUGAUUCUUUGCCCACUUCACCCCUUGUGUCUCUCUUUGUUGCUAAGUUCUUUCCCUCUUGGAAGGACAGAUCUGCUGGGCUGCUAUUUAUAGUUGCCUUUGGCCUUUCACUGCUCUGCGAAUUGGCAGGAAAUAAGGCGAUUAACCCUAUGUGUCCACAAGCCUCAAGCCUUGUUUCAGGUCACCCUCAAAUCACACUCUCUUUAGGCAAAACAGGAAACUUCUUCAGUGACAAAUUUUAAUGCCAGACAUUUAAGGAGAGGAUUACUGUUGAUUCCAUUUACUCAUGCUUGCAAAACUAGAGACCCCUAAGGCAGAACUGAGAAUAAACAUGUUUACUUUGGGC
rnacentral:sRNA from 1 species